rnacentral:misc_RNA from 1 species
UGCCACCGCACACCAUCAACGCUAUAAUUGCCUCUCUCAAGUUGCUUUAGCGGCUUAUCACGUAACCCCCACACCCCCUCCUCCCCUCUUCUUCCUCAGACGACUAGGUAUUGCCGCUCUGUCUGUCGUUGUGCAGCAGCACCACUUCAACGUCGCUGUCCGCGUCAUCGCUGCCACUGCUGAACCUGUGAAAGAGACCAACGGCAAGAGCACCCUCAUCCUCCCCCCCCCCCCCACACACACACACACACACAAACGCUCCCGCCUGCGCACUCCCCCCGGCUUAUUUCCUUUUCGCUUGUUGCUUGUUGAAGCGCACACAUCUGCUCUCGUGCGUGCUUGUGUUGCUACUCGAGGGCUCAUCGCGGAGGCACACCUUUACGCGCGCUCGGGCGUAUAAAAAAAAAACAUAAGUGCGCGUACCCCCUUGAGUACGACGAGAGUGCAAGCCGCAGGCGUGGGAAGACCGUCUCAGGCACGGCCUCCGCUUACACACGUCUUUGCUCCCGGGCUAUCUCGCCCCCUCGCCCGCGCACCCCUCCGUGAGACCACCAACCGGUAGGAAACCAAAAAGAAAAAAAAACCAAGCCAUGUCUUCUAACUGGACUGCCGCGUCCGGCGCGCAUCUUCGCGUGGAGGACAUCGACUGGGGCUCCACAGGUGGCGAUGACAUGUUCACCUCGAAUGCCGAUGACCUACUGAUGUCAGACCCCCGCGCGGUUCGCCGUGCCGAAACGGCACCGAUGGUGCUGACCAUCAUGGGCACAGGGGGCUCUCUCUGUGUCGGAGGUUUCGUGGAGGAGGUGAACCCAGACGAGGAGUACCGCUACACGGAGGAUUACCACCAAUUGUACUACUCCAAGAACCCACGUGACCCCCGCAUGCUGCCGCCGCUGACGCGCCGCCGCCACCACCUCGUGCGUGAGGCCCGCGCGCCCGGUGCGUUCGCGGUGUCGAGCGGCGACAAGCAGUCUGUCCCCUCCACGAAUGGUGCUGUUGGCGACCGCAUUGAGAACAGAGAAAGCGACUGUAAUAACGCUGCCGCUGCCACUUCCGCUGCCACUGCCAUUGCCGCUGCCGCUCCAGAGGCGACCGAGCACCUUUCUUCACAGGCGCUCGUGAAGCUGUACGUUGACACCUUCCGUCCUGACUGGGAUUACGCGCAGAUCAAGAGCCACGUGUGCACCUUCAGCCGGGACCAGGACGGAAGCCGUCUCGUGCAGCGCCUGCUAGAGAAGCCGGAGAACAUUGUCUCCAUCUUUAACGAGGUUAUUGAAGAGUUUGGCGAGCUGGCGACCGAUGUGUUCGGCAAUUACGUGUUGCAGAAAAUGUUCGACGUGGUGCCCAAGGCGGAGAACGACGCCAACGCGCUUCAGGAGAUCAAGGAGGCGAAGAUGCUGGACCGUCUCACGGCGAAGGUACGUGGCCACCUGCUCGAGUACUCUGUGCAAACGUACGGCUGCCGUGUUAUGCAGAAGGCGGUCGAGAACAUGCGCGCUGCCGACCGCAACGCCAUCAUCCGUGAGCUAGAUGGGAAGAUUGUGGAGUUCGUCUUUGAUCAAAACGCGAACCACGUGGUGCAGAAGGUCGUCGAGGUAUGCCCUUCUGGCGCGCAGUUUGUGGUGGACGCCUUCAUUCCGUCUCUGGGCGACCUGGCCUGCCACGCCUACGGCUGCCGCGUGCUGCAGCGCACCUUCGAGAAGUGCCACGACGUGGAGGGGGUGAACAUUCGUCCGCUCAUGGAGGCAGUGCUCAGCCGUGUGAACGAGUUCACGGUGCACCAGUACGGUAACUAUGUCGUGCAGCACACCAUGCUCAAUGCGCCCGAGGAUCUGCGCCACCGCUUUGUGGUGCAGCUGACGCCGCAGCUAUAUGCGCUGUCGUGCAGCAAGUUCGCCAGCAACGUCGCCGAGCGCAUCGUGACGACGGCGACCGAGGAGGAACGUGACGCCAUCAUCAAAGAGCUGAAGAAGCCCCUGAGCGACUUCCAGGGCGGCAACUACCUAGUGAACAUGAUGCAGGACACCUACGCAAACUACGUCGUGCAGCGCUUCUUUGAGGCCGUCUCGCCCACGCAGCGCGAGGUUAUCAGCGAGCUCGUGCAGCCCCACAUCGGCACCAUCAAUCAGUCCGUCUACGGUCGCCACUUGCUACGCAAGAUGGUGUCGAACAACAUUCUAACGAACACCUUCCUCCUCAGCCAAGGCAUCGAUGUUAGCGGCCCCGAGUACGGCGGCAAUGCGAACAACAGCGGCCACCGCAGCGGCGGCCACCGAAACACCGCUAACGGCACCAGCGGCAGCGAAAACCGCCACAACGGCGGUGGUUCUACGGCAUACACCAACCGAAAUGGCAAUGGCCGCGACAGCCGUUCAGGCGGUGGCGUGGGCAGCAACAGCAGCGGCGGUGGCAACAACAACGGCAGCGGCGGCCGUGCUGGUCGUGGCGGGCGUGGCGGUAACAGCAACAACAGCAGCAGCAACAACAGCAACAACCAGCACAGCGACGGCAAAAACAACGCCAUGCGAAGCAACGGUGGCGGCAAUCCAAACAGCAUGCUAGUCUUGCAGCCGCAGCUGCAGCUGCAGCAGCCGAUCAUGACCGGGUACAUGCCCAUGCCGCAGCAGUAUCCGUACGGAACCCCCUACGGCAUUCCUCAGCUUCAGCAGCAACAGCCCCAGGCGCCGCAGCCGGCGUACAUGUACCCCGCCGCAGCCGCCGCUCCGCAGCUGUAUCAGCCGCAGCAGGCGUACAUUCCACAGAUAGCGCCUAGCGGCUUUGGCGCAUUUGCUGGUGCCGCGACCUUUUCGGCGCCGAUGCCGCCUCAACAGCAGGCAGGCAACUAUUCUCUCCGGUAUGGUACCCCGAUGCAGCAGUCGACGCCAACGUCCCAACCACUGCAGACGCCGGCUCAGCAGCAACAGCAGCCGACUCGCCGUGGCGGUGCACAGUCUCCGCAGGUGUACGUGAACGGCGGCUACAACGGCGCAGGCCAGGCGCACCAGCAGCAACCGUCGCCGAACAGCACCCUUUUCCCUGCGUCUCAGCAGCAGCAGGCGUUCCAGGCGAACAGUGACCUCGCCGACGCCACCCUUGCCUCUGGCAAGGGAGGCUGCUCAGGGAAGGGAAACACUAGCGCUGGCGUGAGCAGCGCCAGCCACGCUAACGCGACAAGCAGUGACAAGGCUUGUGCCAUUCUCACCAACAGCAACACUAGCAGCCAGCAGCGAGCCGGCUACAGCAACCAGCGCGCCCCGCAGCAGGAGACGGGCUACUAGGACGGCUGCUGGCGGUCUCUCUCUUUCUGGUGUUGUUCCUGCAUUCUUGUGUUCUCUGCCUCUCUUAACAGUGCCUCGGUGAGGAUACGUUCCGCGCGAGAUAACCACCAAAUUACGGACAGGCUCACAUACACACACGCAUGCCUGGCCGGAUACACGCGAGUGCAUGAUUGGGGCGGCGCCGCUUUACAGGCCUCUCCCUUUCUCGGACAGGCCUCUUCCUCUUGUCCCUCGAACGCACAUAUCCAGGCUUCGACUGUCGCGCAUGCACUCUCUCCAAAUGCAUGCGUUGAGUGCAAGAGGGGGAGGGGAAGGCCCGCCUGCUCCACUGCAGCAACGGCGGCAGGGAAGGGCCGAGAAAGACGCAGAGGCGAACUUUGCGAGCAUGAAGACCGCAACCGUCAUUUCAAUCUCGCGUGCGAGCGCUCGACCUCUCUGCAGUGGGGAAAACGCGGGCCUGUCAGGAUGGAUCAAGGCAUCGUUGAAUUUGCGGAGGACAGGACGCCAUGCACGGGCGCACACAGUGUGCGUGCGGGCUGCGGGGGCGAAUGGGUGGGUGGCUUGGAUGAUGAGAGAGAGAAAGAGGAGGAGGGAUGCCACAGGGAGGCUGAUCUUUUUCUCGUCGGACUCCCAUCCCUAUGCCACCACCCACGUGGGGAGACGAGAAGUAGUGAGAUGCGCAGGAAAAGAUGGCAGUGGAGCGGAAGACAACAAGGUGCCGAGGCGCACCAGCCGCGGGCCUGUUGAACGGGCGGGACAUAGAGAUGUGGGGCGCUUGUGCUUGCGUUUGUGUGUGUGUGUGUGUCGGAGCCGUGGCAUAAGAACCCGAGGUGAGAUAGUGCAAGAAGAGGAAUUCAGUAUGGGAAGGCGAAAAGGGGGUGAGGGGGAGGAGGAUACUGCGGCCCGUCUUUUUUUGUAUUGCGAAGAGUCGGUCCCUGUGCUCGUCGCAGCUGCGUGCUUCACACUCAGCUACACGUUGAGGAAGCUGCCUUCGUGAAGCGUGUCGUUUGCGGUGCCCUCGUCUUGCCCUUCUCUUGCUUUCUGUGCAACAGGCUUAUUCUUGUGUCUGCGUGCUCAUGUGGAGUCCCUGCUCAUCUCGUUUCUACCUCGCAUACCUGUUCCGGGGCUCACUCACCUUCCUUCCCUCGUUUCGCUGGCAUUUUGUGAGAAGUCGUUCUUUUACCGUUGUAUAGCGUUUGCGGGCCUGCGUUGACGGACGCGAAAUAGGAAGUGGGUCACCUGUGUAUCCGCGGAUAUCCACAGAGACUGUCACACGCAACGCCCACAUACAUGAUUGACAUGUCUCCGGCCGCCCUUCACUACGCUCCGUCGCCUGCUGUACUUUCUGCUCUCCUUCUUUCGGAUCCCACAG